rnacentral:rRNA from 2 species
AGUCAACAUGCCCAGGGGACGAGGAUAACCUCGGGAAACUGAGGAUAAACCACGAUAGGUCAUGAUUUCUGGAAUGAUUCAUGGCUCAAACCUACAUGGCCCCUGGAUUGGACUGCGGCCGAUCAGGCUGUUGGUGAGGUAAUGGCCCACCAAACCUGUUACCGGUACGGGCUCUGAGAGGAGGAGCCCGGAGAUGGGCACUGAGACAAGGGCCCAGGCCCUAUGGGGCGCAGCAGGCGCGAAACCUCUGCAAUAGGCGAAAGCCUGACAGGGUUACUCUGAGUGAUUUCCGCUAAGGGAAUCUUUUGGCACCUCUAAAAAUGGUGCAGAAUAAGGGGUGGGCAAGUCUGGUGUCAGCCGCCGCGGUAAUACCAGCACCCCGAGUGGUCGGGACGAUUAUUGGGCCUAAAGCAUCCGUAGCCGGUCCUGCAAGUCUUCCGUUAAAUCCAGCUGCUUAACAGAUGGCCGCGGGAGAUACUACAGGGCUAGGAGGCGGGAGAGGCAAGCGGUACUUUAUGGGUAGGGGUAAAAUCCGCUGAUCCAUAGAAGACCACCAGUGGCGAAGGCGGCUUGCCAGAACGCGCUCGACGGUGAGGGAUGAAAGCUGGGGGAGCAAACCGGAUUAGAUACCCGGGUAGUCCCAGCUGUAAACGAUGCAGACUCGGUGAUGGGUUGGCCUCGCGCCAACCCAGUGCCGCAGGGAAGCCGUUAAGUCUGCCGCCUGGGGAGUACGGUCGCAAGACUGGAACUUAAAGGAAUUGGCGGGGGAGCACCACAAGGGGUGAAGCCUGCGGUU